AUGUUCUAACCGCUCGAAAGCAACACAGUGAUAUAUAUAACAAAUUAACCUAAUGUGUUCAUAAAAUCUUUUUCGCGUGAAGUCAAUUGUGCAAGGGGCGAACCACUUCUUUGGGAGUCCUUGCCGCCGUGAUGCUUCCCUCAGUCAAUUCCAGUAGUCUCCUCCUUCCUAUUGCUGUGUCCAUCACUGAGCCGCUUUUCCUCCCUCUAACACUGUCAAGAAUUAGAUUCGCACUUCUUAUCUUCCUCGCGCGAACACAAAAGGGGCAGAGGUGCAAAACACACCUCCGCGUGCCAAUCUUUGCCGCCGUUCCCCUCCGCCCGUGCUGCAUCGCGCUUUCCGUUGCCGAGAGAAAUAAAGAUCAAGCGCAUCAAAAUGGAGUGAUAUUUUUAGUUUUCCAGAGGCUCUGUUUUGUUGGAAAUGCAGAAAAUAUCAUGAAGGAGGCAGGGCCUGUUAGCAUGACCUUUGAUAUACCAAUGUAUCAUGCUUUAAGGCUUCAGGCAAGGGAUCUUAUUUCGAAGAUCACCGAGGAGAGGAAUUCUAUUAUUGAUCAAAAUAAAAAACCUCAGCAAGAACUGGUUCUUGCAGCCACUCAAGUUCUAGGUCAGGAGGGUCAAAGUUGGUUUCAGGGUACUGCUGAUGCUAUAAGGCAGUUCCACUGGCUAUUUGAGGAGCUAAGCUAUUUCAUAUCAUGUGCUUUAUUUAGUCUAAUUGCUUGCUUGUUGACAGAGAAUAUAAAACUUUGUAUCGUGCUAUAUAUGUUGUUCUGUUGACAUAUGGUAUACAAAGUGUUGUUAGUUCCAUUUUUUAAUUAAUGACAAUGUUUAUUUGUUGUAGGAUCCAAGAGCAAAGAACAUUGAGGAUGUAUUGAUGCUUUCAGGGGAUCACCGCCUGUACAGAAUGAACUACAUAGAUUUGAUUCAAGUUUACCGGGAGAGCAAAGCUGAUUUAUGUAUUGACUGUAAAAGGAGGUGUGGGUGGAAGGUU